UUAGAAAGGGCUGGAACAAAGGAGUAAAGAUUUAAUCAUUUGAAAAAUAUGACCUUCAACAGACAUGUGCAAAAGCCAGAAACCUCUGGGCGGUCCUGGGUUAAGCGAGAGCCUCCAUUGACAGGGAAAUUGAUGAAGAGUGAUUGGUAGAUGUGAGGACUGAGGGGAGGCAACUUGGAUGGUGUCCUUAAAGAUAGGAGGGUCUGGAGACUCGGGAGGGAGGAUUGAGUUUUUGGUCGGUGUGGUUCCUGGGCUCUGAGGAAGCUUGCUCUGAAGGAAGCUGAAGGUGGGGGCCUCUGAGACUGUUUCUCCAUUUUGGACACGAGAAGGAAUACAAAAAGAGCCAUUGCACAGUGCCAAAGAAGCACAAAGCUAUUUGCAUAGCGCCAAUCAAGCCCAACAUUAAAGGAGACCAAACCAAUCCAAUGUCAACUGAUGACAUUCUGCAGAGUACAAGGACUUGAUCAUGUGUGAGACUCAAGGUUAAGAAACAUGCUACCUCUCUGAAUCCAGAAAGUGAACUGUUUGGAGAAGGCACCAUGAAGAUGCCUCUACAGACCACACACUGCACCAGAAGAUCCAGAAUGAACUUUGGGAUGUGUUGAUCUGAACUGUGUGGGGCUGAAUGCAUUUGUUUUGUAUGUAUACUCUUAUGCCAAAGGGGACUGCCCCCAUCUGACUUUUUGUCAGAUGGGGGCUAGGAUCCUAGCAAUCAUGGGUUUCUUUUUUCCCUUUCAUCCCUAAAUUAUUGUAAUUUAAAAGUUGAUUAUGUUAAAUCAUCAAAUUGGAGCAACUAGCUCCCCAAAUUGAUCAUCAGGGGAGAAUAUAAUUGAAAAAUAUGUUACCGUAAAAAAGAACUACAUUUCCUGGGAGCCCACUGACUUACUGUCCUUAUGUACUUCCCGUGGAUGGGGAAUAAAUUGAGUGGGCAGGCCUCCUCUCUCUCUCUCUCUCUCUCUCUCUCUCUCUUUGGCAUGAUGACAGUGAGCUUGGUGGAGGUAAGGCAGGUAUAUUGAAUAGACUGAUCAGUCAUGGACACCUGGUUUUUAUUUUGUAUCCCUUUUAUUCCUUUAUUCCUAAUGAUCAUUAAUAAAUCUCCUAAAAUAUAAUAUUUUUAUUAAUGAGAUCUAAUUUUAAUUUUUACAAUAUCGUUUUGGUUUUUGGUUUUAUUGAGAAAAAUGAUUCUCCUGUGACUUUAUUUAAUAAGGAUUUUAGCAUAUAUGUAUGUUUACUUUGUCAAAGUCUUUUUCUAUAUUGAUUGAGUUAAUAAUCUUGUUUUAUAUAUUUUUUGUUCUUUUAAAAAAUUAAAUUUUAUUUUUUGUAACCAAUAAAAAACAUUUCUCUCUUCCUCUCUCCUAACAAAUGGGAAUAAAAGAAAUGUAAUACUCCACAUAUGAACAUGUAUAGUCAAACAAAACAAAUUAUUACAUUGGCAGUGUUAAUAAAUAUAUUGUUUUUUACAUACACAUAUAAUUAUGUUUGUGUAUAUAUAUAUAUAUAUAUCAUAUUCUAUACUUUGAGUCUUACACCUCUAUCAGGAAGUACAUAGCAUAACUCAUCAUUAGUUCUCUGUCAUCAUAAUGCUGUGUGAAUUUUAGAUUUACUCCACCCUGCUUAGUCUUUAGAAUUUUAGCAACCAAGGAAUACAUACACCCCCACUUAAGGAUUAAUUGUAGGGGAGGAUGGCCUAUGACUGGUAUGUGCUAGCAAGUGACAAAUCAGAAACAACUGACUGAUCCCCUGGGCUGUCCUAAGCCAAGCUUAAGCCAACAUUGGUACAUAUGAGACACAGGAAGUGAUGUAAAGAACUGCCUGUAUAUUUCGGGUCACUUCCUGUGAUCGCUCUCUCAGCAGCAUUGGGAUCCUUUUGCAGCAUUGGCAUGCUUACAGCUUUGUGUGAAUUUCAAAAGUCUCCAUCUUGGUAUAGCACCCAAAAAUUGUGUACACCCAUACUACAUGGGCAUGUGCUAGUCAAUGACAAAUCAGAAAUAACUAACUGCCCACCUGGGCUGUCCUAAGCCAAGCUAGAGCCAACCAUUGGCACUUGUGAGGCACAGGAAGUGAGGUAGGGAACAGCCUCUGGAAUUUGCUCACUUCCUGUGGAGAGAGCAAGAUGCCAGUUGGUGUUAGAAGCUUGGACAGGGAGGACACCCGCAGACAGCUUUCCUUCAGAUUGGUCACGUGAGUUAAGGACUGAUUCUUUCCACUUUGGCCUUGGGCCUAAAACUCCCUCUGCCUUGGUCAGAGGUUGAGUAGCCCCUUUCCCUUUUCUCCUCUCUCCUUCUCUCCCUCUCCUUUCCCUACUCCCAGUGUGAUUAAACCUCCAUAAACUCCAUUCUGACUUGAGUGUUUCAUUUUAGGAAUUUCAUAAGUAAAUUCCUUGGCGGCCAUUGUUCAAUAUUACAACAAUCUUAAAAAGGUGAAAUUUUCACCAUCACAUUUGGCAGACUUUGGCAUUGGAGUUACUGGGAGGAGCCCUGUAAGAGUGAGGUGAGGCAACUUCCCUGAAUCGGCCUUGGUGAGUGAUAAGGCUGACUUCCCCUUUCCUUUACCUCCUGAAGGCACUAUCCUCUGAGGAGGCCCCGCAUCUUGGAGGAGGUCUCAUGGCUGGAAGUCGAGCUAAAUUUAAUCUCCUGAGAAGGCCCCUUGGUUGAGGCCUCUGAACUUCCCUUGGCUGAGGGAAGGCCAGAGAAAAUCUUAUACUUCUUCCCUUUUGUUCUUCUUAAUUUCUUCCUUCUAUUGUAAUUAAACUACCAUAAAAUCCCAAACUGACUUGAGCAUUUCAUUGGGAUUGAAUUUUAAUCCCUGGUGACCACCAAUAUAAUAUAUUUAGUCAACAACCCUAAAAUUUAUCCUUAACAGUCUUGGAAAUUUUACCUUAACAGAUGAUCAUAGUUCCCAAAUCUUUUAUUGUAUCAAUUAUUUUCCUGGUUUUGUUCACUUCACUCUCCAUUUGUUCUUACAAAUCUUCCUAGGUUUCUUUGAAACCAUUCCCUUCAUCAUGUCUUACAACACAGUAAGAUUCUAUUGAAUUUUAAUACUAUAAUUUGUUUAACCAUUCCUCAAUUGAUAGGCACCACUUCAGAUUCCAGUUCUUUGCCACCUUAAAGAGAGAUAUGAAUAUUUUUUUUCUACAUGCUCAGUUAGUUUGUUUUGCUUAGAAUUAAUCUUUUUAUUAUACUCUUCCUCUAAUUUCCCUUUUACUCUUGUAUUCUUUAUUUUUCUGUUAAGUAACAUGUAUUUUUGUAACCAACUAUAUAUGUGUGUAUUCUAACUUCCUCUGACUAGUACAGGUGAGAGUGAAGUUUAAGUGUUAGCCAUUACCCCUUUUCCUCCUUGUUUGUAUGUACUUCUACUUCCAUAUCCUGAUUAUAUGAAAGUUUUUUUUUUCUAACCUUCCUUUCCCUUUCAUCCAUUGCAUUCCUUUUAUGCUCUUUUGGCAUUCUUCUUUUUAGAUUAUUUAGAUAUAAUAAAAGCACUCCCAAGUCUUCUGUCUAGUUAGACUCUCUCUAUGACCCCUGACCAUGAUAAUAUUCUGUGCAGACACAUGCUUUAUUUCUCCAAAUGGGAAUUUAGGCAGUUAAUUCCUGGGUAGUGCCUUAUGAUUAUUUGUGUUUACCUUUUUAUGUUUUUCUUAAUUCUUGCAAUUGAAACUCAAAAUGUCCAUGGCUGCAAUUCAUACCCUUACUAUUUUGUAGGCUUUCAGAUUGUGCUAGAAGUUAUUGCUAAGAUCUUGUUCAGUUCCUGAGGUUUGAGAUAUAAUUCUGCUAUGUGGUUCUGAAUGCUCUUUUUACCAGGUGCACUCUCUAGGGCCCAAUACUGGUACUUACACUGGAUUGCCAUCACUAGGCACAGGUUCCCCUCUUCUGUACACCCUGGGUAUGACUGGAAUUGGUUAGUGGGUGAAAAAGCCAUUUCUAUAGGAUUGGGAUUUCUUAUUGCUCUAGUCUUUCUCUGUCAGAUUGCUCCAUGUGGUAUACUUCUGACCAGAACAAGUCCCUAGUAUGUAUACAGACCUCUUUAUCUCUGUAAUGAUUAAAAUGGGUUUGACAAAUAAAAGAAUUUAAAAAAUUGUUGUGGUCACCCUUUAUAAAAAUUAACUCUUAAGUAACAAAAAUGUUAGUAUCUUUAUUACAGCAAGGUAGAGAUAGUAAAGGGGGAAAUGUAGGAAGGAGGUAGAAAAUAUUAACUAGCUAAAUACCCCAAGUCCAAAUCUGAGUGCCUCCAGACCAAGGAGGGCAUCCCACUGAAGACAGGAGAAGAGUUGAAGAGCCAGUGUCUCCAGCCAGGGUCUCCUCAACCCAAGCGAGUCAAUGAAGCCGAACUCUUUCAGCCACCAACAUUGAAUCCAAGCCAGAAUUGAAUGCCUAAUCGAGCUGAGCCACACUAGACUGAGCCAAAAAAAGGCCAAGUUGCCAAAAGGCUGAACCACCAAAAAACUGACCGAGGGUCCCAGAGGAUCUCACUUAUAUGCAGUUUUCUUCACUCAUCAGCUAUUCCUGUCACAUCUCAGGAAACAAUCAUAGUUUCUUAAUUUGUCUGGCACUGCCCAGGGGACAGGGUCUAUGGGAUCCACCUCCCAUCCUCUGAGGUUGUGAACUUUUAUCAAAAGUAUCCUCAAGUUCCUGACUAAGUUAAAAGGGUGGAGCAUUCCAAGUACUUGGUUGAUUAAGAUAAAAAAAAUUCCCUUUUACAAUCCUCCCUGUGAUUCUAUUGAGAGGUGAGCAUGUUUAAAUCUCCCAGAUUUUACAAGUCUAGUCUCCCCAAUGAAUCAUUUCAAAUAACCAGCUUAUAACUCUAAAGAUAUUCUUACUAGAGGUGUAUAAAAGAUUGCAAUUUCUAGGGAGAAAUUACAUUUUGGGGAUAAGAGGGAGAAAAAAAGAGAAAGAAAGCAAAAAUGAUGAUUGAUAGGAGCAUUGCCAAAAAGCCAAUUAGGGGACAUUCCCCUUUGGCAUAAGUUUACAUUCAGAAUAAAUGAAAUGUUCAUUCCUCUUCAGUUCAGUUCUUUAUAUCCCAAAGUUUAUUCUAGAUCUUUUGAUGCUAUAUGUGGUUUUCACAGGCAUCCUUAAUGCACCUUCUUCAAAAAGAUACACUUUCUUGAUUUGGGGUGUUGGCGAGUUUCUUUUCCUAAAAAUUUCUCCAAAAGAUUUUAAACCUUGGAUUUUAGGAUAAUUUUACCAUCUUCCUCCCCCCCUCCCCAAGGAAUGUGUUGACCAACACCAGACUCACUCCAGUAUACAUGGCUGAAUUAUGAGAUAUAUGAAUUAAUUGUCAAAAGAAAACCAAAAACAUAAAAACCCAAAUAGAAGAGAAAAAAUUAAAAUUUGGGAAAAAUUAAUAUAUGUACAUACAUAUAUCAAAAUCUUAUGUAUAUAAAAUUAUUAGUAAACAAGAAUAAACCUGUAACAGGUCCUUGAAUCACUAGCAAGGCUCAAUUAAAGUGAUUUAUGUCCCACAAGCUUGUAGGACAAUUGUAGCAAAUUUGUACUUACCUGACAGUAGCCAGAACUACAGAAAAUUGCCACACUAUAGAAGAGAAAAGGACUAGAUUUUGAGGGAAAAGGGAAUAUAUGAUGCCCUGGUCUGAUUUUUCCUUUCAAUUUAAGGGAUACGGGAACUGAAAAAGAUGCCAAAUUAAAGUACUUGUGGGAAUGUUGCAUGGGGAAUUCUAGAGUCUGAUGUUGUCAAACAGUAACUUCCUCAAACUUCAAACAAGUCCUCUGUCUUGCUGCAGAUUCUCAUCAAUACCACAAGGAUUGUUGGUCUUCUUAAUGUAAAGAUUAAAAUUUAGGGGAGACUGUGGAGACUGAGGCAGGUAGAAAUUAGUUUCUCUCUGCAAGGAGUAUUAUAUUUUUUUGAGGUUUAUUGAAGAUUAAGGAUUAAAGAAAAUACAGGAUAAGAGACACGUGUCCAGACCAUAGAGAGGCCUAGACACAACCUCACCUACAUUAUGAAAAAAAGCCACAUCUGCCCCAAACGGAAGUCCAAGAGAGAGCCUCAAAAGCCUUUGAAUCAGUUUAAAUACCUUCUUGAUCUCGGCCCAGGUGAGAUUACAAGGCAUUCUGGGGAAGUGGAGCAAAGGCUUGUGGGGAUUGUAGUCCUGUAUUCGAGUCUAUUUUUUACAUUAACCUUGUAAUUCUUGGCAUUGUAGUGUGGCCUUUUUGUGAUCCCUUCUUCUGGAAUCAGACACAAUUAUUAGUAAAAAUUCCAUAAUAUUUAACAAUCAAUGAUAAGUUUCCAUAGUCUAAGGCUUUUGGGUAUGCAUAGUUAUUAGGGCUAAUAGAUAUUGUAAACUUAUCCUUCAGAAUAAAAAAUGUUAAUACUUAUUCAAUGUAUUUCAAGUACAAAAAAUAAGAAAAGAAAAAAUAUCCUAUUGAAAAAUAAAAAGAAAAACAAUAAUAAAAAAUUCAGAAAUUCAAUGUGUCAACCAAAACAGUGUCCAACUUGUCUAUGGAUUUAUAUAAUGGCAUUAUCUUCAGUCUACUCUUAAGAGGAGGUUAAAAAUAAAGAAAAUUGCAUGUGUCAGUUAAUCAGUGUCGAUAGAAGGUACCCAUUUUACAUGUGAGCAAUGAAUCUGAGUCCUUUUCUCUAAUUUUGAUAGCUGUUGGAGUGGUUAAAAGUACUUAAAAUGGACCUUCCCAGGUGGGCUGAGUUCUUCUAGUGUGCUGGAAUUCUUUAUGUACAACUGGUCUCCUGGGUGUAGGUCAUGGAGUGAAAAAUCUUUAGGUCCUACUUGUACUGCAGCUCUGGAUUCAUGGAGUUCUCACAAUUUGAUCUGUAACUCCUGUAUAUAUAAAGCAAUAGAAGUAUUCCCCCUUAGUAAUGAUGUGUAUGCAGGAGAAAAAAGCUUAGCCUGUAUGGGGCGAUGUCCAAAAAGCGUCUCAAAUGGUGAGAUGUAUAGAUCUCCCCUGGACCUGCUUCAAAGAUAAAAUAGAGCUAGAGAGAGAACUUCUUGUCAUUUUAAGUGAGUCUCAGUGUACAAUUUUCCAAUAAUAGUCUUAAGAUAUCUAUUCAUUUUCUCAAUUUGGCCUGAGCUCUGAGGGUGAUACAGGACAUGGAAUUUGGGAAAGAUACCCAAACAAGAACAAAUUUGAGACAAAACAGAAUCUGUGAAAUGAGUUCCUGUGUCUGAAUCAAUAUGUGCUAGCAGGCCAAAAUGAGGAAUGAUUUCUUUUAAGAACACCUUGGCAACAAAAGCAGCUGUGACUUGGAUGCUAGGAAAUGCUUCUGGCCAUCUGGUCAGCUGAUCCACUGUGACUAGACAAAAUUUAUAAUUUCCAGCCUUAGGCAGAGUAAUAAAGUCAAUUUGUAAAUGCUCAAAUGUUGUAUAAGCCAGAGGAUGCCCACCAAAAGCUUUGCGGAGAGCUGAUAUAUGGAGGAAACUGCAUAUAGGCAGUCAGUUUUUUUGUGGUUUGUUCUUUUGGCGGCUCUGUCUUUUUGUGGCUCAGUCUGAUACAGCUCAGCUUGGUUAGGCAUUUAAUUCUGUCUUGGAUUUGGUGUUGUUGGGUUGAGGAGUUUGGCUUCAUUAACUCGCUUGGGUUGAGGAGACCCUGGCUGGAGACACUGGCUUUUCAGCUCUUCUCCUGUCUUCAGUGGGGUGCUCUCUUCAGUCUGGAGGCACUUGGAUCCAGACUUAGGAUAUUUAGCUAGGCAAUAUUUGCUACCUCCUUCCUACACUUCCCCCUUUACUAUCUCUAUUUUGCUGUAAAAAAAAAAAACCACUAAAGCUACUAACAUUUUCGUGACUUGAGUUAAUUUUUAUAAAUGGUGUCCAUAAUUUUAAAAAUUCUUAUAUUUGUCAAACCCAUUGUAAUUAUUAUAAUUUUUGGUGCUCACAAAGGGACCAAUCAUAGUUUCUUAAUUUUACCUUGCACUGCCCCCCUCCUCCCAUUCUCUGAGGGAGCAAACUUUUAUCAAAAGCAUCCUCAAGUUCAAGACUGAUUGAGUUAAAAGGUUGGAAUGCUCCAAGUAGUUGAUUAAGUUAAGAUAAAAAAAAAAUUCCCUUUCACAUCUCUUUAUGCUAAUCUAGUCUUGAAAAGUGAGUUAAUUUGAUUUUUCUGCCAUUAGGAUUUGCCUUGAUAUAUUUUCUACAUUUUAAUGGAGGAAGGUUUUUUUUGAGAGAAUUUUCUUUACUUCUUACUGCUACUCUACCAACUUGACUCCCCUUCUUUUUUUUUUCUUUCACUAUGAUUUUGUUAGUUGCUCUUCCUUAAAUUCUUGGUACAUAUCCAAUAUAGUCAUGAUGAAUGAUUUCUUAGAUAGAGUGUUAUAAUCUGAUAGGAUUUUAUUAUUAUUUUUUGAGUUAAUUAUAUUGGUUUAUCUAUCUAUUUAGGUAUUAGCUACAUAUGUUUCAUUAAAGGAAUCUAGUAGGUGUUAUCUUUUUCAAUAUUUGAGAAUAAUUUUUAUAGUAUUGAUACCAAUUAUUCUUUAUAAUUUUGAUUACUUUUGUGGGGGAAAGAGUCAACAUAGUGGAGUGAGAAUUAGUUCCCUCCACACCCAGUUCACCCAAUACUCCUCAUAUACAACAACAUAGAAAAUGCACCAGCCUGAACUCCUAUUGACAAAGCCAAGAAAAAGCCACAUUGAAUCACUAUUCCAAGCCAACACAGCUUAAGAAGAUAAACAAAGAGGUUCACGGACAAGGUGGAGACUGAUUAGAAGUACAGUAGCAGUAGAGGCAGCUGUGGUAACACCAAUGGCAAGGUGCAUUCUGUUACCCAGGGAUUGGAGAAGGCAGAGAUAGAAGAGCAGGACUGGAGGCAUCAGGGCAGAAAAAAAGUCCUGGUGUACCGCUGAACCAGUGCUGGAAACAAGAAUAGCUAGCACCUCUGCUGUCCAUUAUUGGGUUAUGGGUUACAGUUUUUUAAUUAAGAAGAUCAGUUAUGGUCAUCAGUGAGAAAGUCUCAGCUUAAAACAGAAUAAGGAACAGGUUCCAAAAAUUUAGCUGGGUCCCUCAUAAUUCUGAUCCUAAAAGUAGAAGGGGUUCUCAGUUUUAAUCUUAAGCUCUAAACAUAAGAGUAUAGUAAAAUAACUAGGGCCGGUAACUAAAUCCAGUAACAGUCUACUGAAAUUCAACCACACACUCCAACAGACAUAAAGUUGGAUCAGGACUCAUAUCAACAAGGCAGGGAACAAAGCUUUCCCUAAAUCUUAUGACUUUGAAAGCACUGAACAUUUGUAGUCCUUCAGUCUGAUCUGUGAAAACAGAAGGCAUAGAAAACCAGAAGUUUAGGUCAGACACUCUCCUCAGAACUUAAUAGAUUAUAACACUAACAUAAAGUACAAAGUAAAGAAGUAGGCUGGAAGAAUCAACAAACAAAAAAAGAACUAGACCAUAAAGAACUACAGGUCUUUUUCCUUAUCUCUUUGGGGUACAAACCCAGCAGUGGUAUGGCUGGAUCAAAGGGCAGGCAGCCUUUUAGCACCCUUUGGGCAUAGUUCCAAAUUGCCCUCCAGAAUGGUUUUACCAAACAUUUAAAGAACAAUUAAUUCCAAUACUAUAGAAAAUGAAAAAAAUUGGUAAAAAAGUCCUCCCAAAUCCUUCUAUGAUGCAAAUAUGUUCUUGUUUACCUAAAAGUCAAAACAGAAAGAAAUCUGCAGAGCAGUUUCCCUCUUGAAUAUUAAUGCAAAAUUUUAAAAUAAAAAUACUAGCAAGGAUAUUAGGGCAAGGCAUCACAACAUUCUUACAUUAUAAACAGGCUGGAUUUAUAUCUGGAAUGUAGGAGUGGUCUAAUAUUAGGAAAACCACAAGCAUACUUGAACAUAUCAAUAAUAAACACAACAAACAUCACUUGAUUAUUUCAUUGUGUUCAGUUGUUUUGAGUUGUUUUCGACUCUUAAUGAUACUAUUUAGACUCUUUUUUUUUUUUUUGACAAAGAUACUGGGUUGGUUUUCCAUUUGCUUCUCCUGCUCAUUUUACAAAUGAUGGAAACAGCCAAAAAAAAAAAAAAGAUUAUAUGACUUGCCUAGAGGGACCCAGAUAGUAAGUUUCAUGUCAGAUCUGAACUUAGAAAGAUAAGUCUUCCUGACCCCAAAUCUGGCACUGUAACCACUACCCAAAUAUGCCUGACUAUUUUAACAUGGCAGAAAAAGCCUCUCACAAAAUGUAAAACCCAUUCUUAUUAACAUGAGAAAGCAUGGGAGUAUUCCUUAAAAUUGUAAGUAGUAAUUCUUUUAAGUUACUCUUCUGUCAUUAGGAAAUGCUUCUUUUCAUAAGUGUUUUUUUCCCCAGUAGGACCUUUCCCUGCCACUGAAUUAUGAUUUCUCUUUUUCUUUCUUUCAGUUUCUGUUCCUCCUUAUAACACUUCAACAAGUCUCCCAUUUCUUGCAGGGCUAUAGCAAUAUUUUCUCUUGAUUAUUUGCCAUUAGAUUAUAUUAGGUUAAUAUCAGUUGAUUCCCUCUAACCUUUCUCCACUUUCUUGUUUUAUAUUACCUUCCAUUCUGUAGUUAAUAUCAUAAAGCAUAGGUUCAUUUGCAUUUGAGGUGUUUUGAAAAUGAUUCCAUGGUGUUUUAGGACUGUUCUGUCAUUCUGCCUCAUCCUAAUUUUCCUUUACCCCUUGUUUUAUUGUGUUAGGGAAGAAUCACUUUAUUUUUUAUUAUUGGGGUAAUUAUUGUUUCUAACCCCAUGGAUGUAAUUCUUUUAGUUUUUUCAAAAGAAGUUAUUAACUGUAAAAAUUGAGAUUUUGAACCCUAGACUUCAAUCCCCAGAAGUCCUUGGCAUUUCCCAGAAUUCCUAUAAUCUCACCUGAGUCUCCACAUUGGCGAGAUUACAAUUAGUAUUUAACUGGCAGUAAUGCCUCCCUCUCUCUCUUCCAUUCCAUUGCAAUGAUGUAGUAAGUAAGCUAAGUGUGGGGAUUCUGAAUUGGUUAAUCAGUCAUGGGCAUGUGGUUAUUAUUUUGUAUCCUUGAUUUCUAAUAAUCCUUAAUAAACCUCAAAAAUAUGUUUUUAUUAUUAGAUAUAAUUUAAUUUUUACAGUGAAUGGAAACCACAAGACUGGAUGAUAACUUCUCUCUCUUUUUUUAAAGAUAGCCUAGAUAAUUUUUUUAAGCCAUGUUUCUCCUGCCAAGGCUUUUCAGCAAAGCUUCUGAUUCAGCUGCCUCCUUCUGCCUGCUUCUGUGCUCCAUCCACAUUUGCCUCCAGCCAUCUGCUCCGGACCUGCUUGAUCCAGAUAGCUCUCCCAGUCACGACCUGCCCCGGCCCCAGCCUCAGCCCUAGCCUCAGCUGAUCUCCAGCCUCCCAGCCAGAUUGCACCAGGCCAGCCCCAGGACUCAGGCUGCUGGUAGCUCCUCCUGUGUCUUUGGAAUCACAAACCAACUGGUAAAAACUGGGGUGUUCUUUCCUUAGGCACCAAUUAGCCUCCACGUGGCAGGGGGCCUCAGGGGGGUGAAUGAGGAGAAGGGAGAGAUUCUUCCAAACAGGAAGUUGAUUACAAGUAUGGCAUAUUCUAUGAGAGAACAGUGCAUUUCCUAUUUCAAAGGAUAUUUUUUCGAGUGCAUUGAUCCUUUUAUUUAAUUUACCCAAGAUUCAGGGGAGAAAUUAAUCUUCCUGCAACUCUUUGCCAUCUGGGCCUGCCCAAUUUGAGAUUCCUAAAACCCAUGUUCUUCCUUGCUAUGGAAAAUCCCACCACAGUACUGACAAAAGGAAUCUCAAUGUAUAAAAAAACAAAACAAAACAAAAACCAACUUUAAAGAGACUAGAGGUUAUAUUUUUAAGACUUUUCAGACUCCAAUGUUUUAUAAAAAUCUCUGUAUUUUAUUGCUUUUGCUGAUUGUUUUGUUUAAGAUUUAAUUUUGUUGGUUUUAAGUUCAUAUAUUAAUGUAUUCAAUACUAUUCUGUUACACUGAAUCAUUUUAAUGUAAUGGGUUUUAAUUACUGUUAUAUCCUGUUGCUUUUCCCCUAUAACUAUACUGAACAAAUAUUAUUGAAUAAGCCCAUAAAAAAACAGCCUUUUUUCUAUUUUGGCUUUGUAAAUUGUCACAUAGAAGAUGGAUAGACUUCAUCAAAACUGGUUACAAUUGUAUAACAAACUUUGGAAAACUUAAUGAGCUAAAUGUCUCAAAUUGAUUUUAAGGCAUCUUUUAGACAUGAUUUUUAGAUUUUCCCCCCAACAACUCUGAUCAUUUUGCCUGCCUCUAACAGGAGGUAAGGUCCAUUUUAGUAGUUGAAGUGAAAUACAAUUAUAAUCCCCACCUCCCACAUUUAUAAAAAUGUGAAUGGAUGGGACAUCACAGUCUCAUACCAGAGGAGCUGGGAAGUUAAUCCCAGGGCAUAGUACUCCUGGAUGGCUCCCAAAAAGGGAGCAUCUCUCAUUUAUAACUCUUUAGCUCACUUUACCAUUUCACCAGAAUGAUAUCUAGAUUUGUUGAUGAUGUUCUAGACCCAAAUAAGUUUUACUUUGUUUAAAAAUGUAUUUGCCAAGGUUGAAAAAUUUGCUGCAUCUGUAAAAAUUGUGACAAAUAUCCAUUAGUUCAUAGGCUUUUAAAAAUGUCAUAUGAAAUAAGAUAGUGGGUUUGUUUUCUAUUGUAAUUAACUGGGCUAUUGUGAAUUUUGGGGAUACUGAUACCUUUUGAAUUUGCAUUACAUGUUGUACUACUGUUCUUUAUAAAAAACUGUUACUUUGUGAAAAUCAUUUGCUUUGUACUCACAGUGGAUCAUGGCCAGGUAUGAAGAGGAAAUGGAUCUCAUUUUUGGUGAGAAACUUUUAUAUUCUACAUUUCCU